UGGUGGAGCAUGUGGUUUAAUUCGAUGCAACGCGAAGAACCUUACCAAGGCUUGACAUGAACUGGAAACACCUGGAAACAGGUGCCCCGCUUGCGGUCGGUUUACAGGUGGUGCAUGGUUGUCGUCAGCUCGUGUCGUGAGAUGUUGGGUUAAGUCCCGCAACGAGCGCAACCCUCGUUCUAUGUUGCCAGCACGUUAUGGUGGGGACUCAUAGGAGACUGCCGGGGUCAACUCGGAGGAAGGUGAGGACGACGUCAAAUCAUCAUGCCCCUUAUGUCUUGGGCUUCACGCAUGCUACAAUGGCCGGUACAAUGGGUUGCGAUACUGUGAGGUGGAGCUAAUCCCAAAAAGCCGGUCUCAGUUCGGAUUGGGGUCUGCAACUCGACCCCANGAAGUCGGAGU
rnacentral:rRNA from 1 species